rnacentral:rRNA from 1 species
UGGGGAAUUUUGGACAAUGGGGGAAACCCUGAUCCAGCCAUUCCGCGUGAGUGAAGAAGGCCUUCGGGUUGUAAAGCUCUUUUGUCCGGAGCGAAACGGUUACGGUGAAUAUCCGUGACUACUGACGGUACCGGAAGAAUAAGCACCGGCUAACUACGUGCCAGCAGCCGCGGUAAUACGUAGGGUGCGAGCGUUAAUCGGAAUUACUGGGCGUAAAGCGUGCGCAGGCGGUUUUGUAAGCCAGAUGUGAAAUCCCCGGGCUUAACCUGGGAAUGGCAUUUGGGACUGCAAGGCUUGAGUGCGGCAGAGGAGACUGGAAUUCCUGGUGUAGCAGUGAAAUGCGUAGAUAUCAGGAGGAACACCGAUGGCGAAGGCAGGUCUCUGGGCUGACACUGACGCUCAUGCACGAAAGCGUGGGGAGCAAACAGG